GUCUGCAGCCAUACCACCCUGAACUUGCCAGAUCUUGUCUGAUCUCGGAAGUUAAGCAUGUUGGGCCUGGUUAGUACUUAGAUGGGUCAGUUAGUCUUUUACACUGGAAUCAGUGUAUAAUUUUCAGCAAACA
rnacentral:rRNA from 1 species